rnacentral:lncRNA from 10 species
CCCCUCCCUUACCCCAGGGUUGAGGGGAUGACAAGCUACCCAAGUGAGUGAGUUCACUGCCUCAGGCACAGCCUGUGCCAUUGACUCACCAGCUCUGACCUUCCUUCCUUCCUUCCCCCAAAACAUGCCCGGAGAGGCCCGGGCUGGGGCAUGGGGCUACUCCCCACCUUCCUGCCUAAAGAGCACACCCCCCACCAACCACUUCCCUGGAGGUCAUCCUUUUCACUGUCCCCUCCUCCCUGCCAGGCUUACUGCCAAGGGUUCCUUCUGUGGCAUUUUUCCUGUUUCCAGAGAUUUCUCCUGAGCCUGAACUUUUCUCUGAAGCCUUUUAGGAACUAGGGGACCAACUAUACACUUGAUCAGAAGAAAGAUGCUAGGUUUGCCAGCUACAAGUGCUGUGACCUUUAGCUAGCGACUGAGCCAGCCCCCGUCUGGGUCUCCUCAUCUGUAAAUGGGGUGUUGUGAGGAGUAAGCAGCUUAGGAAGUACCAAGAUCGGCCCCUGGCCCUGUGUGCUCACCACAUGUUAGUUUUUCUCUCUCAUUCCAUUGGGAUCUCUGUAUCUGAGGUCCCUCUGUGCCCUUUUUUUGUUUUGUUUUUUGUUUGUUUGUUUGUUUGUUUGUUUGAGUUGGAGUCUCCCUCUGUUGCCCAGGCUGGAGUGCAGUCGCACGAUCUCAGCUUACUGCAACCUCCGCCUCCUGGGUUUAAGCAAUUUUCCUGUCUCAGCCUCCUGAGUCUCUGGGACUACAGGCGCCUGCCACAACGCCUGGCUAAUUUUUGUAUUUUUAGUAGAGACGGGGUUUCACCAUAUUGGUCAGGCUGGUCUCGAACUCCUGAACUCAGAUGAUCCACCCGCCUUGGCCUCCCAAAGUGCUGGGAUUACAGGCGUGAGCCACCACGCCCAGCCUGUUUUUCUGAGACACGGUUUUGCUCUGUUGCUCAGGCUGGAGUGCAGUGGCACCAUCUCGGCUCACUGCAGCCUUGUUCUCCUAGGCUCAAGCAGUCUGCCUCAGCCUCCCGAGGAGCUGGGACUACAGGCGUUGGCACCACACCCAGCUAAUUUUUGUAUUUUUUGUAGAGAUGAGGUCUCGCUAGUUGCCAAGGCUGGUCUCAAACUCCUGGACUCAAGCGAUCCUCCUGCCUCGGCCUCCCAAAAUGCUGGGAUUACAGCAGACCGAUCCAUGAGCAGCUCCCUCUCAGCCUCUCAGCUCCACACGGUCAACAUGCGGGACCCUCUGAACCGAGUCCUGGGUGAGUUCCCCACCCCUGCUGCCGAACCUGGGGCUAAGCUGGACGAGUCUCUCUUCUCAUGGAGGCUGGGAGACCUUGUCAGCUGGAAGGGGCCUUGCGGUGCCCCUCCCUUCCCUCUCCAUGCCCCUCAUUGUUG